rnacentral:rRNA from 1 species
AGUGAACGCUGGCGGUAGGCCUAACACAUGCGAGUCGAACGGCAGCACAGUAAGAGCUUGCUCUUACGGGUGGCGAGUGGCGGACGGGUGAGGAAUACAUCGGAAUCUACUUUUUCGUGGGGGAUAACGUAGGGAAACUUACGCUAAUACCGCAUACGACCUACGGGUGAAAGCAGGGGAUCUUCGGACCUUGCGCGAUUGAAUGAGCCGAUGUCGGAUUAGCUAGUUGGCGGGGUAAAGGCCCACCAAGGCGACGAUCCGUAGCUGGUCUGAGAGGAUGAUCAGCCACACUGGAACUGAGACACGGUCCAGACUCCUACGGGAGGCAGCAGUGGGGAAUAUUGGACAAUGGGCGCAAGCCUGAUCCAGCCAUACCGCGUGGGUGAAGAAGGCCUGCGGGUUGUAAAGCCCUUUUGUUGGGAAAGAAAAGCAGCAGGUUAAUACCCCGCUGUUCGGACGGUACCCAAAGAAUAAGCACCGGCUAACUUCGU